GACGAACGCUGGCGGCGUGCCUAAUACAUGCAAGUUGAGCGCUGAAGGUUGGUACUUGUACCAACUGGAUGAGCAGCGAACGGGUGAGUAACGCGUGGGGAAUCUGCCUUUGAGCGGGGGACAACAUUUGGAAACGAAUGCUAAUACCGCAUAAAAACUUUAAACACAAGUUUUAAGUUUGAAAGAUGCAAUUGCAUCACUCAAAGAUGAUCCCGCGUUGUAUUAGCUAGUUGGUGAGGUAAAGGCUCACCAAGGCGAUGAUACAUAGCCGACCUGAGAGGGUGAUCGGCCACAUUGGGACUGAGACACGGCCCAAACUCCUACAGGAGGCAGCAGUAGGGAAUCUUCGGCAAUAGACGAAAGUCUGACCGAGCAACGCCGCAUGAGGGAAGAAGGUUGUCGUAUCGUAAAACUCUGUUGGUAGGGAAGAACGUUGGUGAGAGUGGAAAGCUCAUCAAGUGACGGUAACUACCCAGAAAGGGACGGCUAACUACGUG
rnacentral:rRNA from 1 species